CAAAAAAAUGAAAUCUUGCUAUUGUUGAGUUAAAAUAAUCCUCUUUCAUCAGAUUUACUUAACUAGUGUGUGUUUCUAAAUUUAAUUGAGUUAGUUGUGGUUUUUGAACGAAAUAAUGUGUUUUGGCAGGUUUACUCAACAGCUUUUCAUUGGGCCAACACAACAUUCUUGAAUAAAACGCAUUAGAUAGUUUGUUUAAUGAAGAUUGUCACUUUUUGAUGCCGUACCUCCACGUGGUGCUCAUCCAUUUUCUCACUUGCCGCAGAAGGAACGUGGCCAUGAAGUCUACUUAAUACAUUCAUGUGGCAAUGCAAACAGUGCAAGACGGUGACAUCUUCACGGUUUCUACUUCUGAAGCACUACAGGUUAGCUCAUGGCCAUUUUGGACACAGACACCCAUGUGCAUAUUCUCAUUGCCCUUGUGUUUUCAAAACAUGGAAUGCUCUUCAUAGUCACUUAAGCAGAUUUCAUCCUAAUCAAACUGUGCAAAAAUCUGUGAAUGUGGUUAUCUUUAAUUGUCAUUUGUGUACAUGCAGUGACAUAGCUUCAGCACAAGAAUAUUUUUGUCACAUCAACAACCACCUUAAGAGUCACGAAACGGUGCAAUGUAUGUUUGAGGGAUGUUCGUUUCAGACAAAUGUUUAUGGUACUUUUAAGUCACAUAAAAACAGGAAGCACAAACCAUAUACAUUAAAAGAUUUUAAAGUGGGCAUUGUAAAAACAAGUGAACCUCAAUCUUCAGCUGAUGGCACACUAGAUGACAGAAUCUCAGAAGAUGGCAAUGCAGAUUCCGAUGGUGAUAUCGAAAUUGACACAGAACCUGAAGAUUUACCAAAAACCAUAGAGCUGAAAUUUGCAUCUCUUUUGCUAAAAUUGGAAAAUUAUUUUCACAUUCCAAGCACAGCAAUUGAUGAACUGCUUACAGAGUUGCAUUUUUUAAUCAGCACUGCAUCUGUACCGGUAUCAAAAAAAUUAAUUCUAGAUACCUUCAAAAAUCACAACCUCUGUGUAGACCAGCUGGUCAUCAAAGAGCUAACUAACUCAUUAUCUUCUUUUAACCCUUUGUUAAAAGCUGCUGCAAAGAAUGGCCCACUAGGCACUGCUUACAAACUGAGACAGUAUUAUAGGGAACAUUUCGAUGUGGUUGAUCCCAUUGAAUACAUACUCGAGUCCCAAACAAAAAGGUCUUUUCAGUAUGUUCCCAUAUUAAAAUCAUUACAGCAGUUACUCAAACAGAAGGACAUACUCAAUAAAGUUGUUGAUAGUCAUGCAGAGCAGCCUUCAGUAAAGCAGGAGCAGUAUGUAUCUUUUCGAGAUGGUCUUCAUUUUCUAAACAGUGAUUUUCUAUCUGGUGAGGAACUUAGAAUCUCUUUGUGCCUCUAUAUAGAUGACUUUGAAAUCUGCAAUCCAUUGGGGACAUCCCGAAAAAAGCAUAAACUUUGUUCAGUUUAUUGGGUUCUAGGAAACCUGCCACCAGGUUCUAAUUCAUCUCUCUCCUCAAUUUAUCUUGCAUUGUUAUGUAAAAGUGAUGAUAUAAAGAACUUUGGCUAUCAGAAAAUAUUUCAGCCCCUUUUGAAUGACCUUGUCACUUUAGAGCAGGAAGGGGUGUUCAUUGACCAUCUAGGAGCAUUUAUUAAAGGCACAGUCCAGUGUGUAGUGGCAGAUAGUCUUGGAGCUCACGGAUUGGCCGGUUUUGUGGAAAACUUUUCUGGAGAGUACUUCUGUAGAUUUGUUACUGCCACACGUAAAGAGGUUCAGUCAAAAGAAGUAAAAACUGGUGAAUUUCAACUGAGAACUGAAGAGUUGCAUAGUGUUCAUGUAACAAGGGCACUUGAAGAAGGAAAACACUGUUAUGGUGUGAAAAACAAAUGUGUUUUAGCUGAAAGCCUUUCUCACUUUAAGGUUACUUCAGGCUUCCCCCCUGAUCUUGCGCAUGAUCUCUUCGAAGGCAUAGUGCCUGUUGAGCUAGCUGAAUGCUUUGGAGUUUUAAUUGCCAAGAAGUAUUUCUCUUUUGAUACUCUUAAUCAGAUGAUUCAGAGUUUUCCAUACAAAUGGGGAGACAAGACUAAUCGCCCUCAUUUGUUACCACGUACCUUCCAAAGUAAAAAAACAAUCGGUGGCAAUGCACACGAGAAUUGGUGUCUAUUAAGGUUGUUACCACUUAUUGUUGGAAAUCUGACACCAGAGGAUGAACCAGCCUGGCAACUCAUACUAGACUUGAAGGAUAUUGUUGAUUUGGUAGUUUGCCCCAUCCAUACCAAUGAGUCAAUUGCAUACUUGGAGAGUAAAAUAUCAGAGCACAGAUAUAGGUUCCAAGAACUUUUCCCAGAAAGAAGACUGCUACCAAAACAUCACUUUCUCGAACAUUAUCCAUCAAUGAUUUGCCACUUUGGUCCUCUUGUUUUCUUGUGGACAAUGAGAUUUGAGGCCAAACAUACUUUUUUUAAGCAAGUUGUGAGGCACACAAACUGCUUUAGAAACAUAACCCAUUCUUUGGCCAAUAAACAUCAACUCAUGACAGGCUAUUAUAUGCAUACAUCAAGUUGUGAAAAACCAUCUCUGGAAGUUGCACGUGUCUCAACAGUUCCAGUUGAAAUCCUGAAAGAGGGUGUAGCACUAAGCUUCACUCAGAAGUACCCAGAUGCUACUGUGGUUAAUCUGACCCAGAAUGUCUCUGUUGAUGGCAUAAACUACAGAAGUGGCAUGAUAAUAGCACAUGGAUCAGUUGGUGGUCUGCCAGAGUUUGCAGAAAUUGUGCAGAUGUGUGUCUCAAAAGAUGGAUUAGAAUUCAUUGUGAAAAAAAUGAAGUCAUGGUACAGGGAACACUACCGGGCCUUCCAAUUGGAUCCAUCUCCAACCAAUGUUUCUCUUAUUGAGUUAAGUGAACUAGCAGAUCGUUGCCCCCUAUCUGACUACAGAAUUGGAGGAGUUCGCAUGGUGACUUUGAAAAGAUACAUACACUCCUACGGUAAUGUAAAGCAAAUCUGUUGCACUAGUAUUAUUUUAGUAGUAAUUUUCGCAAAUUCAAACACUUGCAUUCAGCCACAUAAGUACAUAAUGCGUGCACCCUAGAGGUAUUGUGAGACUUGUUUAACUGCUUAUGUCUAAAUCUGUUUUUUCUUUUUUUGUAUGUAGAGUAACUGUUGGGUUGGACAAAAAAUGACAACCCCAGUUAAACUUCGGAUUAUCAUGGGAGAAAACAACUCCGAAAAAUUGACUCUGCCUUCUGGAAUACCAGAGUCAGUAGAAGACCUCAAACUUGAGAUCAAGAGACAAUGUGCAGUUGCAGAGGACUUCCGGCUACAAUACAUGGACGUUGAUUUUGACGAAUUUAUAAAUCUGACCUCAACAGCGGCUCUCCAACACUUGGGCACGGUUAAAGUGAUCACAAAUGCACAGGAAGCAACUGGUGAAGGUAGUACUCCUCAGGUACUGAGAAGUCUCUCAGUGGAAUCCACUUCCCUUUCUUCUACCGACACCGAGAUACUCUCUACCCCUGAUUCAUCACCAUCACCAACCUCGAUGCUGAGAUCUCAGGCCUGGCCAGCAAGCUUCCCUAUUCCACAGUUUUCCUAUGAAGUAGAGCUGCAACUUGUGAAAGCCAAUCAGGAAUAUCACAAAAAUGGCACCCUCCUCAACCCAAGCCCAAAACUCAAGUCUGCAAUUUUAGAGUCCUUGGCUUCUGUAAUAAUCAAGUACAAAGCAUACCCUACAAGUGCAGAGUUUGAUGAUGUUGCAGAGGCUUUGAUUAAAACGCAUGCAUGCCUAAAGGAGCAAGGUUCUGUGACAGGAUUCUACGGUUGGAAGAUUAGUUUAAAAUAUAAAAUGGCAAAUUAUCGCAGUAGCCUGAGAAACAUAACCUCUGAAUUGAGCAUCAAUUCCAUGAAACGCAGAGGAGGCCACACAAGUCCAAAUCAAGUGAAGAAACCGAGGAAAGCUGAGGUGAAUUUUUUGCCAGACUAUCCAGUUGGCGAAAACCAAGAGACUCUUGAGAAUGAGAGGUUGGAAUUACUGUCUGAGGUCAAGAAGAAACAAUCAAAUCAUAAAAGUGAAGAUGGACAAAACUUUUGCCUACAGGAGGAAAGAAGUUGUAGUCGACAUGCCCUCCAUUGCAGAAUUUCAAAGCAGAUGGCCAGCUCUUUUUGCUGAAAGUGAGAUAAGUGCAGAAUUUACACGUAUUACCACCAUCCCACUGAUGUCCAAGUUUAUGUCAGAACUUGACCACCACUCUGCUAAGCUGUCCAGGGUGUGCCUUAAGAAGGGAGGAGUAGCAGGUCGCAAGAUUGCAGAGAUCAUGGCUUCCAUCAACGAGAAUGACACCAUUGCUACAAGGAGGGCUUGCAACCUGAAAUCACUUGCUGUGUAUUUAAAUGAAGACCCAGAGAAGCUCAUCAAGGAAUAUCUGGAUGUGAACUUUGAUAAUGCCCAGAGCGAACUGGAUAUGACAGCCCUUGGGAUCUACGUCAUCAAACAUGAGGGUGCAGAUGCCUCCGAUCCACCAGAAGAUGUAGGGAUCAUUGUUGAGGGUGUCGUCAUGCUCAAGCACAUUGGAGAUCUCGCCUGUGCUGUUGCUCUGCUGUUUGGGCUCAUCUACAAUCUGAAUUUGAGCUACCCGCCUGAUCUCAAGUACAGUUUUGAAUUUCUUCAGAAAGUCCUGAUGGGAAUUGAUACCCAUCGCCUUUCAAACAAGGUCCAGGUACUGAAGAAUAAACUUCAUGAAUGAGGUGAGGGAUCUUUGAGCCAUGCAGGGAGAGAAGUGGUUUUAUUGACUGUUCUUAUGCUCUGUCAAGUUGCUUGACAGAUUGUUGUCCCUGUUGUCACUGUCUCUCACCUGUGCUCGUCAGGUUUCACUGUACUUGCCUGUUAUAGUAAUAUUAUUAGGAUAGUUCUUAAAUUAUGUCUUAAGUGGAGGAAAACACUAGUGGAAGCUAGUGAUUUUCUGAGAAAUGCAUUAUGGCAAUAUGCACUUCAGCUGUUCUAUGCACUUUACCUCCUAUGUCUGUUUUUGAGAAAAUGUUUUAGGCAAGAAACAAACUACUUUGAAUUCCUACUGAGAAAUGCAUUAUGGCAAUAUAUAUAUAUGCACUUCAGCUGUUCUAUGCACUUUACCUCCUUUGUCUGUUUUUGAGAAAAUGUUUUAGGCAAGAAACAAAUUACUUUGAAUUCCAGUAGAACUAUAAUGAGAUUCUUGUAACCCCUUAAUGUUUUACGUCUGCACUUAGUUCGGUAUUUUUGAACCUGGGCCUUAUUUCUGUCAUGGGGUGCCUUAAUCUACUAACUGGUAGCAUUUUGGUGAAGAUCGGCGUAGUUUUGACGCUGUUCAGACCAUCGAGAUCGAGCGUGUAUCCAUAUGACGGGAGUAAGCCGGGCAAAGACAAUACAGCCUCUAAAUAAGUCAUUAGGUCUUUAUUUCACCAAUGCUUUAAGAUGAAUGAAGGAAUGAACGCGUGCUACCGCCCUGUUAGCUCAGAGUGAGCUCAGAGCUGCCGUGUUGUUGUUAUUGAUCCGGUUCACUUGGGAUCAGCUGUGCUGCAGCGCCCCCGUCGAUGACGUCAUCCCAGGUGACCCGGGUGUUGAAAAGCCUCAAUAACGACGGCAACGGCAACAACAAGCAGCUCUGAGCUAACGGGUUCAUUCCUUCAUUCAUCUUAAAGCAUUGGUGAAAUAAAGACCUAAUGACUUAUUUAGAGGCUGUAUUGUCUGUGCCCGGCUUACUCCCGUCAUAUGGAUAUACGCUCGAUCUCGAUGGUCUGAACAGCUUCAAAACUACGCCGAUCUUCACCAAAAUGUUACCAAUUAGUAGAUUAAGGCACCCCAUGACAGAAAUAAGGCCCAGGUUCAAAAAUACCGAACAAUACCUUUAAAGGACAGUUUUUGUGCGAGCAAGGAGGCUAUACAAGGGAAUUGAGGUUUUAUGUAUUGCAACUGUUAAACUACAUUCUGUGAAGUUGCUUGCAAUUUAUGCGACUAGAUAACUCUUCAGAAAAUGCUAUUUGAUGUUAAAUAAAGGCAUUUUUUUGAUAAGACACUGUUUGAUUCCCAUUUUAACAUUAUUUUUCUAUUUAACAGAGCCAGGCAUUUCACUAGGACAAAUUCAACUCAGUUACUGAGUUCUAUUUAAGAAUGUUGUGUUAAGUGUACUUAAGAAUGUUAUGUCAAGUGUGGUUCCAUGCAACUAUCUUACUUAAAAUUAACUUAUCAUGAUGGUGUUCUUCUUAUCUACUUAACUUAAAUGAGUUGAACAUAACAUUAUUUAGUAGGUUCAAUGUAAGAAUAAUCCAUAAUAAUUAACUAAUCUAGUUAAGUUGAAUAUACUCCAUUCACUUGUGUUGAAUUUAUUAAAGUUAUACACAACAGUAUUAAGUAGGUUCAAUGUAAAAAUAAUCCCUAAAAAUGAACUAAUCUAGUUAAGUUGAAUAUACUCCAUUCACUUGUGUAUCAUUUAUUGUAUUUCAUUUAGUACAUAUUAAAAAAUAAAGAACCUUAGCUGUUACUUAACACAGUUGCGUGGAACCACUUGACAUAACUUUUUUAAGUAAAUCCAAAAAAACAUUUUUUGGAGUGUAGGCAGAGAUACGGACGCAGUAAGGUAUUGCAGUAAUACGAGUGAUUGAAAUUACCAUUUAAACCACCAAAGUGGUCCAAGCACAAUGAAAACAGUUCAUACUUCAAGUCACAAUGGGCGCAGCCAUCUUGAAUUCUGUCUCGGAA